GGGCAGCAGUCGUGCCGGCUCGAAGGGCACGGCUAGGGCCUCGCCGCCCCCGCAGUAGGAGAGGCGCGGGGGCCCGCUGCCCGCGGCCAGCAGGAAAAGCUGCAGACAGAAAUGCCCUGGCCGUGAGUCCCAGCGCGCAAGUCGAGGCAGACAAGCACCGGCGGUCCUGAGCUCCGGCCCGUGUCAGCUUUCCUUCUUGUCUGUGCACUUCGUGUUUAGACAGGCGCGUGGACGAUAAACCCGAGGCCUUGCCGACUUCCCCAUUUCUACCUGUUGUACCUCGGGCCGUGCUCCCUAGCACAUAGGUUCCCCGGGCUGGUAAGCCUUUCCUGCACCUUUUCUCUCCUUUCAAAUUUCUAAUCAGUUAUGCCACCUC